UACGUAGGGAGCAAGCGUUGUUCGGAUUUACUGGGCGUAAAGGGCGCGUAGGCGGCAAUUCAAGUCAGCUGUGAAAUCUCCGGGCUUAACUCGGAACGGUCAGCUGAUACUGCUUUGCUAGAGUGCGGAAGGGGCAAUCGGAAUUCCCAGUGUAGAGGUGAAAUUCGUAGAUAUUGGGAAGAACACCGGUGGCGAAGGCGGCGACCUGGUCCGAUACUGACGCUGAGGCGCGAAAGCGUGGGGAGCAAACAGG
rnacentral:rRNA from 1 species